rnacentral:rRNA from 1 species
UACGUAGGGGGCAAGCGUUGUCCGGAAUCAUUUGGCGUAAAGCGCGUGUAGGCGGCCCGGUAAGUCCGCUGUGAAAGUCGGGGGCUCAACCCUCGAAUGCCGGUGGAUACUGUCGGGCUAGAGUGCGGGAGAGGCGAGUGGAAUUCCUGGUGUAGCGGUGAAAUGCGCAGAUAUCAGGAGGAACACCAAUUGCGAAGGCAGCUCGCUGGAACGUAACUGACGCUGAGACGCGAAAGCGUGGGGAGCAAACAGG